CGAGGAAAACCAGUCUGCGGGAGCUGAGUCCCAGAGGAUGAGGACGGUGACCUUCAGAGUCAGAAUCUCUGGACUCUCGACAGGGCGUUGAAUCUGGGCUCUGGCUGAGCUGGGCCAACAUGCAGCAGGACCAGGAGAGCAGAGCCGUGGAAAAGAGUGGACCCCAUGGUCCUACUGGAUCCGUCUCACCUGGAUGAAUCCAUCUCUCCCUGGAGUGUGGCUGCUCACAGCGUUAUUUCCUAGAGGAAGUGACCCAGGACAUCUGUGACGGGGUCAUUAAGCCUUUUGGUGGACGAUUCCUUGCAGUUAACUUCAUCUGCAGCCUGCAUGCUUAUGCAGAAUUCAUGAAGACGAGGACCACCGGCCACCUCUUCAGAGAGAUUCUGGAAGCACCUACUGGCAGGUCUGCAGAUGCUGAACACCCCGGGGGAUCGUAACAGAGCAAGGACGUCACAGGCAGCUGAGAGGACGGUGUGGGAUCCUCUGUGCCCCGGGCAGAGCCCGUGUUUAGCCAGCAGUGUUUCAUCUCUGAGAGUCAGAAGGGAGCAGGUGUGGUCGUGCUGUGGGCAGGGCCGUGUGCACCUUUGGCCACUUUCUAGGCAGCUGGAUUCGUCCUGUUUCUGCUGUAAGUGUUGAACGUAAGCAUCUUAAUGUGUUUUAAUGACCUGCACUAUCUUCUCCGCUCUGCUAAUAAAAUUCUGACUCACCCCCAAUCUGAGUGGUUAUUACAGUCACAGAAAAGUACCUACCUGAUACCUGUUCCUGCUGUUUUAAAGGCGAUUUCUUUUCCUUUUCAUGUCUGGAGAUAUUUUUGUACUCAAGCUCUAAAGGGACUAGACUACAAGUUUCUCUGAGUUAAAGCAUAAUCCUACCAAAAUCAAUGGGAUUUUUAUAUGAAAUAUUGAUCCGGCGUCUGCCGCUUUUCCGUU